rnacentral:rRNA from 1 species
AGGACGAACGUUGGCGGCGUGCCUUACACAUGCAAGUCGAACGUGAAGGAGCUGCUGGCUUGCCAGUAGCUCCGGAAAGUGGCGAACGGGAGCGUAACACGUGAGGAACCUGCCUUGGAGUGUGGAAUAACCACGAGAAAUCGUGGCUAAUACCGCAUAAUGCCGCGGCCUCGCAGUGGGGGACCGCGGUUAAAGAUGGCCUCUGCUUGCACGCUAUCGCUUCGAGAUGGUCUCGCGGCCUAUCAGCUAGUUGGUGAGGUAAUGGCUCACCGAAGGCGACGACGGGUAGCCGGCCUGGAGAGGGUGUCCGGCCUCAGUUGGGACUGGAGACACGGCCCAGACCUCCGUACGGGAGGCAGCAGGUGAGGAAUCUUCGCGCAAGUGGACGAAGUCUGACGCAGCGACGCCG